GGCAGCUUACAUCAAGGGCGUUACAGUUACGUCACGGAUCGAUCGCAGAAUACCUUACAGGACCGAACCCCAGUGGAACGCUCGAGAAGCAGAAAAUUAUCGCUUUAGCGUGCAACGUCAAUGGAAGUCGAACUGAAACAGUACUUCAAUACGCCGAUUAGGCGCGUUCGCCACCUUUCAGCUGAAUGAAAUUUUGUCACGAUCAUUACCUGGUCAUCGUACGGGUGAGCUUUAAUCGAUCAACGGGACUCCAUGUGAAGCAAAGCAAAUGCAUAAGAAACUAUUUGUCAUAGUUGCUGAGAGAAACGUUGACGAAACGAACUUGAGAACUAGAAGGAAGAAGAAAAACUUAGGAUGAUGGUUUUUCCUUCAAAAUCUUCGAGACAGUCUGGACAAUUCAGGAUGAAACGCAUUUAGCCGCCAUAUUUUUUUUUGAGUGUUCAACAAAAAGUACCAAAGCAUGAAGGCCAAGCCUCAUCCUGAUGGACAAAUUGUUUCUUUCUAAAUAUAGUGUCCUAACAUGCCAACACAUUUCUAUUCGGAUUUAUGGUAUAUACUGUUGUCUGGAGGAUCAGGAGCGAAUCCACCCGAAAAUGCAUCAGUGAUCUAUUCUAUUGAUUAGAAAUUAAGUGUAAUCUCGGCUAAGAAUUAUGGCCUUAACUGCCUUGCGAAGGCAA